AAGUAGCUGUGCUGGCUGAAGGUGGCAGUUCUGAAACUGAUUAUGAUUAGAAGAACCAUGGAGACGUCCACGGGAGCUUUCAUCCUGCUCUUGUGGCUUUCACUGCACUGGCUCAGCCGAGGAGAGAAGGUGGAGCAGCAUCCUUCCACGCUGAGUGUCCAGGAGGGAAGCAGCUCUGUUAUCACCUGUACUUACUCAGACAGUGCCUCAGACUACUUCCCUUGGUAUAAGCAAGAAGUUGGGAAAGGUCCUCAGCUCAUUAUAGACAUUCGUUCAAAUGCGGCCAAGAGAGAAGACCAAAGAUUCACUGUUUUAUUGAACAAGACAGCCAAGCACCUGUCCCUGCACAUCGCAGCCACCCAGCCCGCAGACGCAGCGGUCUACUUCUGUGCAGCAAGUGCACAGUGCGUCCCCGACACCUGCCGCCUGUGCUCAAACCUGCGACUCUGCAGCCCCUGUCCUCUGACACAGACCUUCCAGUAGAGCAUCUGUGCGGUUGUUUGUCUGCAGGCGGAAGCUAAUGUGUUCGACCAAACAAAACCAAAACCAAAAACAUAAUAUAAGGCUCUUGGGAUAGAGAUGACCCAGACAGGGUUAUAACACUUUCUUGGAUGAUAGCUGCUUAUUGGAUUGUUGAAGGGAGUUAGUAAGGUUUUAUUUUGAAUUUCAGAUUUUAAAGCUGAUUUACAUUUGCUAUUUAGACUCCUAUCAUAUAAACAACUCUUUGGUAAAUUAUCACAUUCUUAUCAUGGAUUAGCUUUCAACUCUUAUCUUUCCAAUGCUGCAGAUGUUAUUUUUGGCCUGUUAUAAAACAUUAUGUGCUAAAUACAGAAAAUAAUAAAAUGCAAAGUGUGAAAUUGA